rnacentral:misc_RNA from 1 species
GAUGAAGAACGCAGCGAAAUGCGAUAAGUAAUGUGAAUUGCAGAAUUCAGUGAAUCAUCGAAUCUUUGAACGCAUCUUGCGCUCCUUGGUAUUCUGAGGAGCAUGCCUGUUUGAGUGUCAUUAAAUUCUCAACUACACUGACUUUGAAUUGGUGUGCUUGGAUUUGGGGGGAAAAUUGUUGUGGGCUUUUUGUAUAGUCUGCUCCCCUGAAAUUGAUUAGCGGUACCUUUGUGGAACUGUCUACAGGUGUGAUAAUUAUCUACAUCUUAGACAUCUGCUGGAAUGCUGCUUUCUAAACCUUACUUGUAUUGACAAUCUUGACCUCAAAUCAGGUAGGACUACCCGCUGAACUUAAGCAUAUCAAUAAGCGGAGGA